rnacentral:rRNA from 1 species
AGUGAACGCUGGCGGUAGGCCUAACACAUGCAAGUCCAACGGCAGCACAGUAAGAGCUUGCUCUUACGGGUGGCGAGUGGCGGACGGGUGAGGAAUACAUCGGAAUCUACUUUUUCGUGGGGGAUAACGUAGGGAAACUUACGCUAAUACCGCAUACGGCCUACGGGUGAAAGCAGGGGAUCUUCGGACCUUGCGCGAUUGAAUGAGCCGAUGUCGGAUUAGCUAGUUGGCGGGGUAAAGGCCCACCAAGGCGACGAUCCGUAGCUGGUCUGAGAGGAUGAUCAGCCACACUGGAACUGAGACACGGUCCAGACUCCUACGGGAGGCAGCAGUGGGGAAUAUUGGACAAUGGGCGCAAGCCUGAUCCAGCCAUACCGCGUGGGUGAAGAAGGCCUUCGGGUUGUAAAGCCCUUUUGUUGGGAAAGAAAAGCAGCAGGUUAAUACCCCGCUGUUCUGACGGUACCCAAAGAAUAAGCACCGGCUAACUUCGUG